GCCAGCGGUAAUACCACGUUUAAUACACCAGUUCCCCAUGGAUCACUGAAGGUGAGAAUCGUUCCACGUGGUUAGUAUCAGGAUGGGUGACCAUCUGGGCAAUCGCGUGCUGCUGGCA
rnacentral:rRNA from 1 species